AAUAAGACAACAACGGCCGUUAAAUAAAAAAAUAUUUAAAAAGGCAGAAAAUCAGUUAAAAUAUAGCAAUUUAAACUCAAUUUUGAAAUGGUUUUUAUCCAAUCUAUUGAUUUAACAAGUCGCAUAACUUUUUAGGCUAAUAUUCAGUACCACAAUAACUAUGCAUCUAUCAACGGAUUAUUUGUAGGUGUAGGGCCACCUAUGCACCCUCUUCAAUUUAGAACGUAUGUAAAAGUAGUCCUACCCUGUAAAAUAUAGCACCUUUUAUGUCAUUGUUUAAUCUAGAGCUCAAAAUUUGAAAAAAAUGUCAAAAUAUUAGGAGGGUCGGCCUAUUCCAGGGCUUCUAGAGAAAAAUAAUGAGGGGUGUCACGGGGAAUGACUAUAUAGGUCUUGUAGAGGAGAAACAGGCGCUUCUUUUGCGCUAGGUAUCGAAGGGCGCUAUGUUCAAAAAUCUGAAACUAGAGCUCAAAAUUUGAAUAAAAUGUCAAAAAAUUAGGGGGGUCGGCCUAUUCUAGGACUUCCAGAGAAAAAUAAUGAGGGGUGUCACGGGGUAUGACUAUAUAUGUCUUGUAGAGGAGAAACAGGCGCUUCUUUUGCACUAAGUAUCGAAGGGCGCUAUGUUCAAAAAUCUGAAACUAGAGCUCAAAGUUCGAAAAAAAUGUCCAAAAAAUGGGGGUAGGGUCGGCCUAUUCCAGGAGUUCUAGAGAAAAAUAAUGAGGGGUGUCACGGGGUAUGACUAUAUAGGUCUUGUAGAAGAGAAACAGGCGUUUCUUUUGCGCUAGGUAUCGAAGGGCGCUAUGUUCAAAAAUCUGAAACUAGAGCUCAAAAUUUGAAAAAAAUGUCAAAAAAUUAGGGGGGUCGGCCUAUUCCAGGGCUUCUAGAGAAAAAUAAUGAGGGGUGUCACGGAGAAUGACUAUAUAGGUCUUGUAGAAGAGACACAGGCGCUUCUUUUGCGCUAGGUAUCGAAGGGCGCUAUGUUCAAAAAUCUGAAACUAGAGCUCAAAAUUUGAAAAAAAAUGUCAAAAAAUUAGGGGGGUUGGCCUAUUCUAGGACUUCUAGAAAAAAAUAAUGAGGGUGUCACGGGGAAUGACUAUAUAGGUCUUGUAGAGGAGAAACAGGCGCUUCUUUUGCGCUACGUAUAGAAGGGCGCUAUGUUCAACAAUCUGAAACUAGAGCUCAAAAUUUGAAAAAAAUGUCAAAAAAAUAGGGGGGUCGGCCUAUUCUAGGACUUCUAGAGAAAAAUAAUGAGGAGUGUCACGGGGUAUGACUAUAUAGGUCUUGUAGAGGAGAAACAGGCGCUUCUUUUGCGCUAGAUAUCGAAGGGCGCUAUGUUCAAAAAUCUGAAACUAGAGCUCAAAAUUUGAAAAAAUGUCAAAAAAUUAGGGGGGGUCGGCCUAUUCUAGGACUUCUAGAGAAAAAUAAUGAGGGGUGUCACGGGGUAUGACUAUAUAUGUCUUGUAGAGGAGAAACAGGCGCUUCUUUUGCACUAAGUAUCGAAGGGCGCUAUGUUCAAAAAUCUGAAACUAGAGCUCAAAGUUCGAAAAAAAUGUCCAAAAAUGGGGGUAGGGUCGGCCUAUUCCAGGAGUUCUAGAGAAAAAUAAUGAGGGUGUCACGGGGUAUGACUAUAUAGGUCUUGUAGAAGAGAAACAGGCGUUUCUUUUGCGCUAGGUAUCGAAGGGCGCUAUGUUCAAAAAUCUGAAACUAGAGCUCAAAAUUUGAAAAAAAAUGUCAAAAAAUUAGGGGGGUCGGCCUAUUCCAGGGCUUCUAGAGAAAAAUAAUGAGGGGUGUCACGGAGAAUGACUAUAUAGGUCUUGUAGAAGAGAAACAGGUGCUUCUUUUGCACUAUGUAUCGAAGGGCGCUAUGUUCAAAAAUCUGAAACUAGAGCUCAAAAUUCGAAAAAAAAUUUCCAAAAAAUGGGGGUAGGGUCGGCCUAUUCCACGAGUUCUAGAGAAAAAUAAUGAGGGGUGUCACGGGGUAUGACUAUAUAGGUCUUGUAGAAGAGAAACAGGCGCUUCUUUUGCGCUAGGUAUCGAAGGGCGCUAUGUUCAAAAAUCUGAAACUAGAGCUCAAAAUUCGAAAAAAAUAUCAAAAAAAUGGGGGAAGGGUUGGCCUAUUCCAGGAGUUCUAGAGAAAAAUAAUGAGGGAUGUCACGGGGUAUGACUAUAUAGGUCUUGUAGAAGAGAAACAGACGCUUCUUUUGCGCUAGGUAUCGAAGGGCGCUAUGUUCAAAAAUCUGAAACUAGAGCUCAAAAUUCGAAAAAAAUGUCAAAAAAUUAGGGGGUCGGCCUAUUCCAGGAGUUCUAGAGAAAAUAAUGAGGGGUGUCACGGAGAAUGACUAUAUAGGUCUUGUAGAAGAGACACAGGCGCUUCUUUUGCGCUAGGUAUCGAAGGGCGCUAUGUUCAAAAAUCUGAAACUAGAGCUCAAAAUUUGAAAAAAAAUGUCAAAAAAUUAGGGGGGUCGGCCUAUUCUAGGACUUCUAGAGAAAAAUAAUGAGGGGUGUCACGGGGAAUGACUAUAUAGGUCUUGUAGAGGAGAAACAGGCGCUUCUUUUGCGCUACGUAUAGAAGGGCGCUAUGUUCAACAAUCUGAAACUAGAGCUCAAAAUUUGAAAAAAAUGUCAAAAAAAAUAGGGGGGUCGGCCUAUUCUAGGACUUCUAGAGAAAAAUAAUGAGGGGUGUCACGGGGGAUGACUAUAUAGGUCUUGAAGAAGAGAAACAGGCGCUUCUUUUGCGCUAGGUAUCGAAGGGCGCUAUGUUCAAAAAUCUGAAACUAGAGCUCAAAAUUUGAAAAAAAUGUCAAAAAGUUAGGGGGGUCGGCCUAUUCUAGGACUUCUAGAGAAAAAUAAUGAGGAGUGUCACGGGGUAUGACUAUAUAGGUCUUGUAGAAGAGAAACAGGCGCUUCUUUUGCACUAGGUAUCGAAGGGCGCUAUGUUAAAAAAUCUGAAACUAGAGCUCAAAAUUCGAAAAAAAUAUUCAAAAAAUGGGGGUAGGGUCGGCCUAUUCCAGGAGUUCUAGAGAAAAAUAAUGAAGGGUGUCACGGGGUAUGACUAUAUAGGUCUUGUAGAGGAGAAACAGGCGCUUCUUUUGCGCUAGGUAUCGAAGGGCGCUAUGUUCAAAAAUCUGAAACUAGAGCUCAAGAUUCGAAAAAAAAUGUCAAAAAAUAGGGGGGUCGGCCUAAUCCAGGGCUUCUAGAGAAAAAUAAUGAGGGGUGUCACGGAGAAUGACUAUGUAGGUCUUGUAGAGGAGAAACAGGCGCUUCUUUUGCGCUACGUAUCGAAGGGCGCUAUGUUCAAAAAUCUGAAACUAGAGCUCAAAAAUUUGAAAAAAAUAUGUCAAAAAAUUUGGGGGUCGGCCUAUUCUAAGACUUCUAGAGAAAAAUAAUGAGGGGUGUCACGGGGUAUGACUAUAUAGGUCUUGUAGAAAAGAAACAGGCGUUUCUUUUGCACUAGGUAUCGAAGGGCGCUAUGUUCAAAAAUCUGAAACUAGAGCUCAAAAUUCGAAAAAAAUGUCCAAAAAAUGGGGGUAGGGUCGGCCUAUUCCAGGAGUUCUAGAGAAAAAUAAUGAGGGGUGUCACGGGAUAUGACUAUAUAGGUCUUGUAGAACAGAAACAGGCGCUUCUUUUGCGCUAGGUAUCGAAGGGCGCUAUGUUCAAAAAUCUGAAACUAGAGCUCAAAAUUUGAAAAAAAUGUCAAAAAAUUAGGGGGGUCGGCCUAUUCCAGGGCUUCUAGAGAAAAAUAAUGAGGGGUGUCACGGAGAAUGACUAUAUAGGUCUUGUAGAAGAGAAACAGGCGCUUCUUUUGCGCUAGGUAUCGAAGGGCGCUAUGUUCAAAAAUCUGAAACUAGAGCUCAAAAUUUGAAAAAAAUGUCAAAAAAUUAGGGGGGUCGGCCUAUUCUAGGACUUCUAGAGAAAAAUAAUGAGGGGUGUCACGGGAAUGACUAUAUAGGUCUUGUA
rnacentral:lncRNA from 1 species